rnacentral:lncRNA from 1 species
AAUCAUUUUCGUUUCCCCUCACACCACCCCUAGCUCUAUAAAUGGCCAUUGAUUUGCCGAGAAAUGCCCAGGACUUCUUCAGAACAUAUCAGCAGCAGUUAGCAUUUGGUUCAACCUCUCCCAUGGCUGAAGAGCAAACCAAGACCACCAACCUUGCCAACCAAGAGACCAGUGAGGUGAAGAACGAAGUGGAGGAGGUUGCUGCUCCAACAAAAACUCAGGAAGAAGAAGAGAAGAGUUCCACUGGCGAGGAACAGGAGGCUGCAGAAGCAAAGGCUACCUCCAAGCAGACAUUUCAGGCGACCAGUGUGUCUGUGUAAUCUAGCCUAGCAGCUAAGCCUGCCACUUUCUUAUGAUGCACCAAGUGAUAUAUAUAUAUAUAUAUGAUAAUGUGUGUGGAAUAAGUUGAGCUGCUUUAAGGUGGUCUUGUUCUGUGUCUGUGAGAAAGGUCUAUCUAAGGUGAUCUGUGGUGAGUCCAGAUGGAGGUGUGCUUGUCUUCUUGACUCGAGUGUGCUUUUUAUGUAUGAAGUAUAUCUAAUUUUGUUUUUGUGACUACGUGAGUAUAAAUUCAUCUUGGGUUGUCUCUAGGUUCCUUUUUCUUUCUUAAUUUAUCCUCCCCUUUGUGACUUAAAAAAGUGAGAGACAGAGUCGCUGUUACACGACUCGCAGUGAUAUUAUUCUGGUGGUUUGGCUUGGUUCCUAAAGUUUUAGGCAAAAUAGUAAAACUCUCUCGCUGAUCAGGUGACUACCGUUUGCUGUCUACAAUCAUAAGAUUUUGACGAUCAUAAGAUUUUGAACACACUAUACUUGCAAGUAGGCAAAGAGAAAUGCCCAAAAGAACUAGGGGAAAUUGCUUAGCGGACUAAAGGAAACAGUAACUUAGGGACUAGAAAUUAAAGAUCCAUGCAGCGGUGGAUCGGAAGUUUUUUUUUGAUCAACGGGACUUUUGUUAUAGUGGAGUCUUUAGAGGGAUGGAAAAGUAAUUUUCCAAAAGAACUACCUUAGGAGAACUUAUGAUAAAAGGGUGGUUCUAUAUACACCCCCCCUAUUGCUCAGGACACCCCCCAAAAAUUAAAAAAAAAUUAAAAUACUCUCUACACCCCCCCAUUUGCUAAGGACACCCCUAAANNNNNNNNNNNNNNNNNNNNAACGGAGGAGGAGAAGGGGGGGUGUAUGAGAAAAUUUCAAGGGCAAUAUGGUAAUUACACUAAAGGUUAGUUUGGGUAUUUUUUUUGGUUUUUGGGGGGUGUCCUGAGCAAUAGGGGGGGUGUAUAUAGAACUACCCAUGAUAAAAAUAUGUGUGAAAGUUGCACAAGAAUUUGGGUUGAGCUACUGUUUGGCAGGCUUUUUUUUAGUACGCAUGAAAGGAAGCAUGCAUGGAAGAUUGUAAUGUACCAUUUAGCCAGAGAUUCUUCUUUCCAUUGGUUAUAAAACUUGAUAAGUGAACAUUGGCAUGUUUCCUUAAAAAAAAAAAACAGAACAUUGCCUUGUUUAUCUUUAGUGGAAGGUAGAAGUGUUAGAUAUGGCCACUGGAGUUUGUGUUAGUGUCAGCCGCAAAAUUCGGAUCUUGACAUAAUCUUUGAGGCUAGAAGACUUUUAAAACAACAGAGAUAAGUUUACUAAAAUAUAUAUACGAAAAAGAAAAAAAAACUCCUCAAGAUAAAUGAGUUUCACAUGAAAAAUAAUUAUCUAACUGAUGUUUAUAUUUCGUAAAAUAUAAAGAAUAAGUUCUUUUAAAAAAGAGUUUAUUUUAUUUUUAUUUUUUAAAUGUAUUCUAGAGAAACAUGUUUUAUGGAUAUAACAAAAAAAAAAAAAAAACUGGAUGCCUCAAUCCCUCCCGGUGGUGCCCAUGAAGAUAAAUGAGGAGUAUGAAGCCUACGUAGUGGCAGCUAAAGCUUUACCACGUCCUGCAGUAUUGGAGGCCGAUUUGAUAGCCAAAUAGGCGGGCUCAUGCUACUAUGGUACACCAUACUAUCCCAAACCAGACGACAAGCCGUAUCAUACCAUAUUGAUUCGAUACUAGUAUUUGAUAUGGAUGGCAUACCGUCAUUCGGUACGUAAAAAAACUUAUGUACUAUAUCAUAUCGAUAUUGUACUAGUGUAGGGUACGGCUAAGUCCGAUACCAAGACGGUAAAUUUUUGAGAGAAAAACUAUAUAUUCUACCAUAGUUUAUUGGACACAAGCUCCUCAUCCGCAGGCUCUUACCACUUCUGUCAGAUGGAUAUUAUAUCUGGUAUUUGGCAGUCCAAGAGCCCAUAUCUCAUGUCCCACAAAUGAAGUAUAGACAAUCCAUCAUUUUGACUCAUGCGAUACAAUUGUUCAAGAACUACAGAAUUAAUUGGAGUUAUUUAUGAGUAUAAUAUAUAGGGAUCAUAUAUAGGAAUGGUCUUGGAGGAGACACGUACGUGAGAUUAGAAGUGGUUGGGGUGCUUUAUUUAUCUAAUCAUCUAGCGAAAAGUCUGCAUUUUCUCCACCCCUGUAUUAGCUCAUAGAUGUAGACGACGCUUUUGGAAAUGCCUGGUAGCCAGGGGACAGCAUGAUUUUUUUUUUUUGGUACAACAGCGGCUCACAUGCAACCCAAAUAAAACUGCUGAAGUGAUGAACCGCAAAGAGGACAACUAAUCAACAACACUAUUCACCUCUCUGUAGACAUGUGUGAUCUGAUAGGAGCCACACUCUUUCAGAAGUCUACAGAUAUCGUGGAGCAGCAGCCUUCCACUAGUAGCACAUCUCCGACCCGAACCCACUUGAUCACUUCUCGUGUCAAAAUGCAUCUUUUCUAAUAAAAUUAUGUUUCAAAUAAAAACAUCACCUCUCUCUCUCUCUCUCCUCUCUACUAUCACGAUGCCAAUUGUUUGGGCGGUCAUUGAUGGUUUCUGUGUCUUCUUUUGCACCCGAAUGCCAUCGGUAUGCAAGAUCCAAGAAAAAUUAUACACCUUGGCCGACGUCCCUGCGUUGGUCCAUACUUGGGGUUGGGCCCUUGCAUGCAUGCAGCCAACUUGGGAUGGGUGGCCCACCAUGCCUGUUUUUGUCCAAGUAUAAAUAAUUUGAUUGCAUUCUCCCUAUAGUCUCCCUCAAGGGAGCCAGGUAUAGCCAUGCCAAAACUAAGCCUUUCUUCUGUUUUCUAAAUAAGGAAGCAUUGCCCAUGCACAUGGAGUAGUAGUCUUUAGAAUUAAUUACUGGAAUUAGAAGAUAAAUUGAAGGCCAGGAAGCCAGUGUUAUUUCGGCAUAGCAUUCUAACCUAAUUGUCGUAAAACUAAAAGGACAAUGGAGAGAUGCAAUUCUUUAACCAAAACAUUAAUUGAACACUUGUUAACAAAUGUUUAUGGCCGAUUGAAUUCUUAGUACUCUCAACAACAAAUAUCCUCAAUAAAAUUAGUGGGUUUCCCUGUCUUUUUCUAUUCAAAAAAAAAAUCGGCAGCCAAUGAUUUUCCUCCUUCUGAAUCAUUUAGAGCCUGUUUGGAUUUUCCUUCUAAACUCAACAAGUCUUUAUUUUAUUUUAUCUGCACAGAAUUCGGGCUUAACCCACUCCAAAGUUAUUCCUAGAUAUUUUAUAAAUAUAUACCUAACACAUUGUAUAAUUUUGCGAUUUUGCUGAUUUUACUGUCUCAAUCCACAGACAGUACUGUCUAAUUAUCUAAACAGACUCUUAAUAUAUUUAAAAAGAUGGGAUCACAGACAGUAACUAAUUACGAGCUCACAUAUGGAUUAAACUACCUAGUAGUGAUAAUUACAGUGCAAACUUCACUCCGUAACUGCCAAUAAUAGAGUCCGCAAGAAGCUCCAUAGUAAGAAUGCAACUAUUGGUUGGGGUAUUUUUUUUCUAAGGAAAACUUUAUCAGAUGGCACCACAAUCAUGCAUCUUAUACAUAGACGUGGCCAUGUAACAUCUACAUGUCAUGCGUGGCCACCAAUCAAUGUGCAUUACCUACCACAUGAAUUACACCAACUUGGUCAUGCCAUAUGGCAUGGAGCUUUUCGGGACCAUGCUAUUCGGCCUCAUAGCAUUUCUCGAAUAAUGGGUUAUAUUCCGAAAUAUAUUCCACUUUUGAGUCUUCCUUCUCUUGCAUAAUGGGACAGCUGAGGAAGGGACCAGGAUAUCAACUCUGCACUCAAUUAUUUUGUUUGGGAUAAUGCCCAUAAAUAGCCAUUGAUUUGCCGAGAAAUCAACGAGACUUCUUCACACCAUAAUCAUUAGCAGUAAGCAUUAUAUUUAGUUCAACCUCUUCCAUGGCUGAAGGGCAAACCAAGCCCACCAACCUUGCAAACCAAGAGGCCGUUGACGUGAAGAACAAAGUGGAGGAGGUCGCGGCUCCACCAAAAACUCAGACACCAGAAGAGGAGAGUUCGGCUGGCGAGAAGCCAGAGGCAGAAGGAGCUAAGGGUCCCUCCGAGCACAAAUUUCAGACGAGUAUUUUGUCUCUGUAAUUUAGCACAGCAGCUAAGCUUGUCCAGGUUUUAUCAUGCACCAAGUGACAUGUAAUAAUGCGUGUGGAAUAAGUUGAGCUGCUCUAAGGUGGUCUUGUUCCGUGUGUCCGUGAGAAAAGGUCUAUCUGAGGUGAUCUGUGGUGAGUACAAAUGGAGGUGUGUGUUUGUCUUCUUGCCUUGAGUGUGCUUUAUGUAUGAAGUGUAUCUAAAUUUAUGUGGGGUUGUUGCCCGUUUCCUUUUUCUUCCUUUAUCAUCCCCUUUAUGACUUAAAGAGUGACUGAUAAAGUCACUGUUACACGAGACAUUUUUUUAUUCUGGUGGAUUUGGCUUGGAUCCUAAAGUUUUGAGCAAAUAAGUAGUAGACUCUUUUGCUGGACAUAUGACUGUUCUAUAUCACUGCAGUGUUAGAGACCGAGUUAGACAGCAUAGUCUCAUAGUCUCACAUUGACGAAUAAAAAAAGGUACCACAUAGGUUUAUUAGCCCGAGCCAUCCCUUCUUCCAAUAGCUUAAGUUUUUGUAUUGUUGAAUCCAUGGUAAAUAGUAUCAGAGCCGUCACAAUGUUUAGUAGUCAUAGAAGUCCCUCACUGAGUUACCGAGGUCGUGGAGGAUCCAGUAGGUUGCCUAAGAUCUAGGCCAUGAAUGUCUCUUCUCUCUUAAGUAGAAGUCAACCAUGAGGAGGACUUUAAAAUUGUCAUAAUCUCACAUUGACUAAUAAAAAAAUGUCACAUAAGUUUAUAUGAAUCCUACUCUUUUCAAGAGCUUAAGUUUUUGGAUUGUCGGACUAUGACAAUAAGUAGACUUGUGCUAAGUUCUUGAUGAGUUACAGACCUCCUAUACAAGUAGGCACUCUUUCUACCUUAGUUUCUUGGAUACCUGCAGCUCUUCGUACACACGCAUAAGCCACUUCUUUCUCAUGGAUAUCUGGUCAUUUUGCCUCUUUUUCUCUUUCCUGGACGCAUGAUCUUCCUUUCUGACCCCCUUUAUGUUGUUGGUAUAGGCAGAUAAGGGUGGCCGUGGUUUUUCUCUUUUUUUUUUUUGCUAAGGGGGGUGGCCGUGUGUUUGAUAGAGUUUUUGUAAAACUCCUCUCUUACCAAAAAAAAGGACCAACGUAGCGGAAACAAGAUUAAGCAUCAAUUUAGCUAUUGAUUUUAUACUUAAUAAUUAAAGAAUUGCUUUUAAGAUAAUAAAAGCAAAAAUUAAGAAUACUCCAGUCGCAUCCAUCUAUUUAGUAACUGGCGGUUCUGAAUUAGAUUUUUGGACAAUGCAUCCCACAAUCAUGAACAAAUAAUAGAUCUGCUCUCUGUUUUCUCAAAAAAACAAAAACAAAACUACGCCACUGUAAAUGCCUUGAUUGAGAUAAUAAUAGCCAACAUAUUUUAAGUGCAUCAUACCAGACAAUAUAAUAUACUGCUUAAAACCAGUACUUAAACCAAGAUUAAAUCUAUCAACAAGGAUUCACUGCUUGGAUCAAUAUAUAGAAAUACAAAAACGAACAGAUUUGGAUUUGAAGCAUACCAGAACACACACACCAAGAGGCCACUCCAGCUAUCAAGAGAUUUGGGGUCUCUUUCCAGUCAGCAGCCAACUGAUUUGAAAUCAAAAAAGACAUCCACAACGAAC